UCCAGCCUGAGUGACAGAGUGAGACUCAACUAUAAACAAACAAACAAACAAACAAAUAAAUAAAGGGCCUCCUUGGAGGCCCAACACAUCAGGGACAUCUCAUCCACCGCUUACUCCUCCCAAGCCCAGCAGAGCAGGGAGGGUGGCGGAGCAUUUGCCCAGUGUGCACGGCUAAUGCCAUCCCGUCCACGUGAUCAAGUGGUACCUGGAAGAACCUGACAAGGCAGCUCCAGACUAAGGACAAGUCAACCCCUUUUCUAGCCUGUUUCCUCAUGGUGAACUGACAGGGUGGGACUAGAACUCACAAGUGGCCAGGCCAGCAUUGGAAGCCAGCUCUGCCUGCCCGCACAGGCCUGGACGCCCAGCCACAACCUGGUGUCCCCUCUGCCCAGCUCUCGCCUUGGCUCUCAAUCAUUAAUGAAGAUGUGAAGUGAGACACCAAUCCUCACAGCCCCCACCACGUGCUCCCUCCCAUGCCUGGCGCUGCUGGAGUCAUUAUCCUUCCUGGUGUGACAGGGUCAGAACCAAACCAAUUUGCAUCAGUCUUUGGUGAUGUUGUGAAGCGUCGCCUGCCCUGCAAUCCUGCUGCUGUAACAACUGCUUCAGCUGUCUGUUCUGGAGUGCUCUUCGCUCCUUUGGAAGACUGAUCAGAUCUGGCCACCCCAGUUCUGGCUGAAAGCCCUAGAGCGACCGCAAUGGUAGGGCAGGAUUCAGGGCUACACAUGGCUGACAUUGUUCCUUCUUCGUUUUGCUCUUCUGAGCUGGACAGAAAGCAGUCCCUCUUUGGAAAACAGGAUGGACAAGUGCAUACAUUAGUGGAGGACGCAGCAGAUGUGGCAGGCAUAGAAUUUUACUCAUUGCUCCAUCUAUUUCUAUCAAGGAAAAUGGGGAGUGCUCCCAAUUUCCGCCCAUUUUCUAGCCCAGGCCUAGUCAGAUGUGUGGGCUUGUAUAUUCUGGGAACCUGGGGCUGAUGUGGUCAAGUCACUUCUUGGGGACAAGGUCAAUUCUUCUCCAUUUUCUCAUGUCAUUUGGUCCUGAGGGUUUUAUAUCUUCUUUAGCAAUUCCAUGACUAUGCUUCUCAUCCUGCAGGGAAACUGACUUUAUAUACACACUUGUCUCCCAAUAAAAGUGAGAACCACCUCCUACAUAUCCCUUGUGUCUUCCAGACUCCAACUCAGAUGAAAUGCACUUCCUUCUCUUUCCUGAUUGUGCAGCGCCUCCAACUGGUUGUUUGUGAUGAAAACAUGAGUAUAAUUACAGACUCUUCUCUGACCCAUUUCUACUCCUGACCCCCAACUCAUCUUUUCUUCCUUCUCUCCAAUUGGGAAGGGGAAGGGAAGCAAGGAGAAAGUAGCGAAGGAAACUCUCGCAAACACAUCUGAAGUAAGAUGCUGCAUGUCCAAGAGCUGGGGGAAACUUAACGCUACGACUCUACAGCAAAGUUAGGUGAGACAUAUUUUCUCAGGGUAGGUAAGGAAAGACUGAGGAAAAAGAUAGCUAUUUGGCAACACUGAACACCUACUGACUGAAUGAUUUUUUUCUGCUCCUGGGCAAAGGCUCUGAGGAGUGUGGGGAGAGAUGGGACUGUCAUGAAUAGGGAACAAGUUUUUUUUUUCCACAUUACAUGCAAUGAGGUAGAGAUCCUAGGGUAUAGCUGGAUGCUUAUUAGGUGCUCAGUAAACACUUAUUGGUGUACAGAUUGAUAUACAUUUGCAUACUAAAGAACAAAUUUCAUUACCAUAUACAAAGGUUAUCGAUGAACUAUGUAUGUAUGCACAUGUGUGCAGGAUAACAGGCUGAGCUGAGAAGCAGGGCUUUUAAAAUCUGUAUAUCCGGCCCCAGAGGCUUUUUUCUCCCUGUAUUAUAAAAUCAAUACCUGUUUCCGUAGAGAGUUUGGAAAAUGUAGAAGAAAACAACAAUACCCCAUAUUCCUCCAACCAGGCAGCAAGCACUAUUACCACCUUCGCCUAUUGCCUUCCAUUCACCACCCCACUGUAAUUGUUAUAUCUGGCCAUUUCACUUAUCCUUAUGACAAAACCAUUUCUUCCAUGAUAUCAUAACCUCUUUGCAAACACACCAAAUGGCUGCAUGGCAGUUCGCUACGGGAAUGUACCAUGAUUUACUCAACAGCUGCACAUCUGAACAGCCUUUGGGCCACUUGAAGGCAGAGGCAGCAGCAGCAGAGGUGGAUGGCGGGAAGUAGGAGGCCAAGGUGAAGCAGCUCGCAGGACCUUGCUUCCCCAUGAGCCCCCCGACCACCAUUCCUCAGAGAUCAUUUCUGGUUCCAAUCCUCACAUAUCCUUCAUGGGUCCUGCCACAGCCAGCACUUCUCAUUUCUACUCAGCCUCAAGUCACUGACUUUCCCAACUUGACUCUUCUCAGCUGCUCCUUUGUGUGAAGUCACUGGCUCAGGCCAGCUUGGCUCCUGGGGCUUGGCUGCGUCCAGAAAGGCCCUGGGAUGUGACCUUCAGCCUCGCUUGACCCUGAGGCCUCAGGCUGCAGUCAGGCGAGGGUCUCUCCAUGGGCUCCCAGAGAAGGCAAAGCCCAGAGGAGGCUGCUGCGGGAGCAGAAGCCUGAGUGGACCCUGCUUAGUCCUGGAAAGGGACCUGACAGGUUUGCGAGAACCUGACAAAUCUCACACCAUAGAAAACUAUCUGGCCCAGGCACAGUGGCUCAUC
rnacentral:lncRNA from 1 species